AAUAUAAAGCAUAAUAUAUACACAUUAAAUCCAAACCUUCGAGACAGUGAAGGUUUCUGACGGACAAACUCUCAGUCAAAAUAACAAAAGUUCUGUUUGUAACAUUCGUGCUUUUUGUCCUUUUCAGGCCUAAAUCUUAAGCAGUCCUUUCCCUGAUGACCAAGUCAAAAUGUCUGCUGGGACUUAAUGUACAGACCUCCAGACAUGAUGGGCAACGACUUGAGAGGAGAAGCGAGCGAUGUGAAAGAAGAGUCAAAUGAGGGAUCUACAGUAAGCAUUGGCCCAGUAUACAGUAGCAAUGCUGUGAAAAAUAAAAAUACGUGUAGUUCAAUAUAUACUUUACAUUUUUGUUGUAUCCUUCAGGCUGAACUCCUUAAUUAAUUACAUAUUUGACCAUUGGUACACAACAGAAAG
ensembl:lncRNA